rnacentral:tRNA from 1 species
GGGGAUUUAGCUCAGCGGCAUAAGCGCCUGCCUUGCAAGCAGGCAGUUGUGAAUUUGAUCCCCG